rnacentral:tRNA from 1 species
GGGGGAUUAGUUUACUUAAAUCGCAGAGUUGUCAGCUCUGAGAGGCUUUUAGGAGUAUCCCCCA